GUGGAGAGAAUCAUUAAUCCGGUGGUGGUUCGACUCAAGUUGCCUGCAACACUUAGAGUUCAUCCCACUUUUCAUGUCUCCUGUCUCAAGCCGGUUCACCUCAGUCCUCUGUUGCCUCCUCCUCCUCGUCCUCCUCCUCCUCGGAUGAUCGGAGGUGGUCCUGUCUACACGGUGCGCCGCAUCAUGGACUCCAGACGGCGGGGUCGAGGGUACCAGUAUUUAGUUGAUUGGGAAGGAUAUGGUCCAGAGGAGAGGAGUUGGAUUCCUCGGCGUCAGAUCCUUGAUGACGAUCUGCUUCGUGACUUCUACCGCCUCCAUCCUGGCGCUCCAGGUAGUCCGCCCGGUGGCGUUCGUCGGAGGGGGGGUACUGUCAUGAAUCCCGCUUCCUGAGUCUGUGUUUGCCUGUGUUUCUGUCCUGGAGUGUGUUUCCGGUGUCCUGGAACGCACCCUGUCUGGUUGCCGGGCGAAUUAGCUUGUUGGGAGAUUGAUGUUCACCCGCACCUGUAUCCCAUCAGUAAUCUGCACACCUGUCCUGAUCAUCACCUCUCCCCUUCAAAAACUCUGACCUGACAUCCAUUCCCUGCCGGAUCUUACUCACCUGGAUCAUUCACCCCAUUCCCGCCUGGUUGACAGAGGAUUCCGCUACUCCAUUGGAUUCACCUAUUUCCUCUCAUCAAUUCACCACCGCUGCCCGCUACGCCAUCUGGAUAUAUCUACCCUUUCACAUUUAAUUGUAAAUAAAUACUCACCUUCUUCCUA